GAAAGCCGUAUGAGGGAAAACCUCACGUACGGUUUGAUGAGGAGGGGCAGAAAUUUAUCUGCCCUUUACUCUAG
rnacentral:ncRNA from 1 species